GGGCAGAGGUCGAAGGCCAAUAGGUCAUCGGUGGGGGUUGGCCGCCGCCGGCUGGUUGGGUGGAUCUGGGAUUCGGGGGGAGGAGGAAGACACAACAAAGGAGGUGGUGCUGGUACGUGAGGAGCAAAGCCUAGGGUUUGGUGAGCUGGUGGGUUGGAUGAACGGAUGGAUGAAUGUUUGACACAUCAUGAUCCAUGCCAUAGCAGAU
rnacentral:lncRNA from 1 species